rnacentral:rRNA from 1 species
GUGACUGGCGGCGGCCUAACCAUGCAAGUCGCUCGGAUGAAGAGAGCUUGCUCUCUGAUUCAGCGGCGGACGGGUGAGUAAUGCCUAGGAAUCUGCCUGGUAGUGGGGGACAACGUCUCGAAAGGGACGCUAAUACCGCAUACGUCCUACGGGAGAAAGCCUGGGACCUUCGGGCCUUGCGCUAUCAGAUGAGCCUAGGUCGGAUUAGCUAGUUGGUGAGGUAAUGGCUCACCAAGGCGACGAUCCGUAACUGGUCUGAGAGGAUGAUCAGUCACACUGGGACUGAGACACGGUCCAGACUCCUACGGGAGGCAGCAGUGGGGAAUAUUGGACAAUGGGCGAAAGCCUGAUCCAGCCAUGCCGCGUGUGUGAAGAAGGUCUUCGGAUUGUAAAGCACUUUAAGUUGGGAGGAAGGGCAGUAAGCGAAUACCUUGCUGUUUUGACGUUACCGACAGAAUGAGCACCGGCUAACUCUGUGCCAGCAGCCGCGGUAAU